rnacentral:rRNA from 1 species
CCCAGACUCCUACGGGAGGCAGCAGUGGGGGAUAUUGCACAAUGGGGGGAACCCUGAUGCAGCGACGCCGCGUGGGUGAAGGAGCGUUUCGGCGCGUAAAGCCCUAUCGGCAGGGAAGAAGGAGGACGGUACCUGACUAAGAAGCCCCGGCUAACUACGUGCCAGCAGCCGCGGUAAUACGUAGGGGGCAAGCGUUAUCCGGAUUUACUGGGUGUAAAGGGGGCGCGGACGGCAGCGCAAGCCAGGAGUGAAAGCCCGGGGCCCAACCCCGGGACUGCUCUUGGAACUGCGCGGCUGGAGUGCAGGAGGGGCAGGCGGAAUUCCUGGUGUAGCGGUGAAAUGCGUAGAUAUCAGGAGGAACACCGGUGGCGAAGGCGGCCUGCUGGACUGCGACUGACGUUGAGGCCCGAAAGCGUGGGGAGCAAACAGGAUUAGAUACCCUCGUA